CGAUGGUAGGAUAGAGGCCUACCAUGGUGGUAACGGGUAACGGGGUGUUAGGGCACGACACCGGAGAGGGAGCCUGAGAAACGGCUACCACAUCCUAGGAUGGCAGCAGGCGCGCAAAUUACCCAAUCCCGACACGGGGAGGUAGUGACAAUAAAUAACAAUACGGGGUUCUUUCGGAUUUCGUAAUUGGAAUGAGUACAAUUUAAAUCUCUUAACGAGGAACAAUUGGAGGGCAAGUCUGGUGCCAGCAGCCGCGGUAAUUCCAGCUCCAAUAGCGUAUAUUAAAGUUGCUGCAGUUAAAAAGCUCGUAGUUGAAUUUCGGGACUAAUAUGUCGGUCGUGCCUCGGUACGUACUGGCUUAUUGGUUUCUCCUUUCUGAAGAACCAUGAUGUCAUUUAUUUGGUGUCGUGGGGAAUCAGGACUGUUACUUUGAAAAAAUUAGAGUGUUUAAAGCAGGCUCACGCUUGAAUACAUUAGCAUGGAAUAAUGAAAUAGGACGUUUGAUUCUAUUUUGUUGGUUUCUAGGAUCGACGUAAUGAUUAAUAGGGAUAGUUGGGGGCAUUAGUAUUCAAUUGUCAGAGGUGAAAUUCUUGGAUUUAUUGAAGACUAACUACUGCGAAAGCAUUUGCCAAGGAUGUUUUCAUUAAUCAAGAACGAAAGUUAGGGGAUCGAAGACGAUCAGAUACCGUCGUAGUCUUAACCAUAAACUAUGCCGACUAGGGAUCGGAUGAUGUUAAUUUUUUAAUGACUCANUCGGCGCCUUA
rnacentral:rRNA from 1 species